GCGGGGCCGGCAGCGCUCCCGCCCCCCGAGCGGGCCGGUGCCGGGGUCUCCCCGUGCAGCCCCGCCCGGGCCAGGCCGGUGUCCGUGGCGGCGCGGGCCCUCCUUCGGGGGAGCGGGGCCGUCGCCGCCCCCGCAGGUGCCGGCCCUGGGGAAGGCGGCGAGCGGGGCCAAGCCCCUACGCCCCGCCGGAGCGGCCGCUGGGGGUGCCGCGCCGCCGGGAACGCGCCUCAACCUCUGCUGCCCCGGGAAAACCGGAGCUCGUCAGCGAGGUCCCGUUUUGGCCACACGUAACGAGCCGGGCGUUUGGCCCCAGCUGGAGGCGGCCCCGGCGCACGCUUCAGGAUGGCUCUCGGUGCCAACCCAGGAUAACGCGUCCUCGCGCUCGCUGUUCCGUGCGGGCGGGAGGUCGCCGCGGGAAACGGCUGCUCAAGCGAAAGCACGCGAGCGAGGCCGCCCAGCCCCUGGGAGAUUAUGCCACACACGAUACUAUCAUCUGAGUAGCUGCAUCCUGCUGAUUCCAGACCCUGCAUACAGAGAAACCGCUUCAGACCAGCCCAUACAGUUUCACCACGGUCUCUGCUCAUGGAGGGGAUGCUUCCCCAGCAAGCUGUUCUUCAUGGAAUUCCUCCAGCCUUGGCUUGCCCUGCGUAGGGAACUAACAUUGUCAGUGUAGUUGCACAUCAGUGGCUCCUGGCUUUUGUCAGAGGUUGAGCCUGCUGCGAUGUCCUGCUGCCUGAACACAGGUUUCUGUGCAUGUGAAGUGGGAUGGUGGCGUUAAAACAUGAGAGCACUGUUUCAGGAGCUCUGCAAGGGGACCUGCUGGAGGCACACUGGGCCGCGGUCCAUCACACCACGAGCUGGGUCCCUGGGCAGGUCUGUGCUGUCCCUAACCUCAUGUCUGCGUAGUCAUUAGGAGGCUGCUCUAGGCCUGCAUGUGACAUUUAAAGGGACCUCAGAAACACGCCUGCUUCUGAAGCUCCUUUGGGCCUUUUCUGGUCUCCAGCACUGUGCUGUAGUGCAGGCUUGGCUCUUGCUCUGACACUUUCCCACCGACGGCAGCAGGACAAUUACCUGCAUCUGGCUGUCAGGAUGAGAAGGCAGAAGCUGCAGCACUGUACUGCCAAUGCAGGAGAUGCCACUGCUUCUCUGAAACAAAGCUGCUCUGUUCCUUUGAGUGCCCAGGCCCCUGCUCCUCCUUCUAUCACAGAAGAGGGUUUUGUAACCACGGCAAACGUUUCUAUAUAAUGAACUGAAAACGAUACUACAUUUUUUAGUAUUUAAAUACUCUCUUUUAUGCUAAAGGAUCAAAGUUGUGUGCUUCAGCGCACAAGUUCUAUUGCCGUGUGAUUCAAGAACAGUGUAGGUGCGAUCAGUAUACCCCAGCUCUGUCGCUUCAGGUAAUUGGAGUUCUCCUGGCUGAUCUGCCAGAGUGGGUGCCCAUAUCCCUAACUGUUUCUCAGAGGAGGACGUGGGAGAGACUUGCUAAGGAGAGCACAAUCCUCUAUACGCUUCUGUUGUACAAGUGGCAACUGCUGCAGUUCCCUGCAGAACGCUUUCUUGGAGUCCACUGCAAUACCAGCCACAGUGAUUUACCAAUAAAACCACUCGCAAAUGAUGUCAUCAUGUAAUAGAAGGCGGCUGGUACUCUUUCUGACAGGGAUAAAAAGUGCUGAACUGACUUCUACCCACACUUGCUGUUCUAGAAGCACGUCUCUGAAAGGAACAGGACUGACUUUCAUCUCUGCGAUACAGCGGCAGUAUCAAUGACAGGAGAAGCUAAGGCAUCCACAUCAGCUGCCUACUGAUUUACACUGGAUGUGUCACCCAGUUGCAGGUAGUCCUAAGGCCAUGACUAAGCUGAGGCAGCCACCUAUAAAACCUUUGUUGGGGGGCUGCGCCAUCCAUGCCUUCAAAUACAGAGAAUCAGCUACUUUAGAGGCACGCCAGGAAAGGUUCCUUAUGGAAGAGCUGAUGCCAGGAAGACUGCAGUGAUUUGCAACGUUCAGAUCACCUCAUUCUCAACAGAUCAGAGAUUUGGAGGGUAGAGAUGCCUGUAGGCCAGUAAGAGCCCGCUAUGUCAUGAUCGAGGAUAUGGUUUGUGUGUUCUGUCAGCAUGGCCAGAGGGUGUAUUUAUACAACUGGGAGACAGGCAUCAAUGGAAACUUCCAAGACCACAAAAAAAGUCAAAUUCUGUUUAGUUUCAUCUGGUCACCAACACCUCCCCUAAGCACAAGGGCACCUUUCACACAGUGGCGGAAGGAAGAUUUAAGUCAGCACUUUCCAACUGGCAUCAGUAUGGGGAAAAUAUAUCAUACCUUCAGCACUUGGUUCUUCCACAGUGGAGGGAUGGGACGGGGCAAUCCUUGAAGGUCCUUCCAACCCUACAUAUCCUUUUGCUGCCGACUACAACAAGACAGACAGCGAGCAAAUAUUGAUGCUCCCACCACCUGCUAGAAAAAGGAAAAGCAAUUUCCAGUCACCAUUUGUAACAGGAACACUACAUUCUGCCACAGGAAGAGGAGGAAGUUCUCAAUGACCACAAGUUCUCACUUCCACAGGGGAGGCUGAGGACAGCUGCUGUACGUUAGUCAUACUUCACCACAGAAUGCAGACUUAUGCAUGACUUCUUUGCUUCUCAGAAGCAGGCUAGAGGAACAGAUUAGUAACCAGCUGGGUGUCAGGACAGAGAGCAGUGCGCUAACAAAUUAUUUCCCAACAUCAUCCUAGACCAAGAGACUAAAGUACUGAGAGAACUCAUGCUUUAAUAGACACUGAAAUCACAAAGAAAGAAGGCCAAAUGCCUUAGCAAUUUCAAUAAAAAUAUGAAAAUCUUUUUACAUGGUAAAUUUCAUAAUAUAAAAAGUUUAAUGCUGUCUGGAAACAGAGUUUCAAUUUACAAAGAAGUUCAUAUAGGCCAAACACGGCUAACACUGCAUACAAGGAGAGCAAGUGCUAAAGGGCUGCUGCUUGGAAGAGUCUUUGCUGACAGUCCUCUCUGAGUUACCAUCUUCAACGCUCUUUUGAAGGAGUUCUGCAAACGAGGGGCCAAGUUUUC